GAUGAACGCUGGCGGCGUGCCUAAUACAUGCAAGUCGAGCGAACAGACGAGGAGCUUGCUCCUCUGACGUUAGCGGCGGACAGGUGAGUAACACGUGGAUAACCUACCUAUAAGACUGGGAUAACUUCGGGAAACCGGAGCGAAUACCGGAUAAUAUAUUGAACCGCAUGGUUCAAUAGUGAAAGACGGUUUUGCUGUCACUUAUAGAUGGAUCCGCGCCGCAUUAGCUAGUUGGUAAGGUAACGGCUUACCAAGGCAACGAUGCGUAGCCGACCUGAGAGGGUGAGCGGCCACACUGGAACUGAGACACGGUCCAGACUCCUACGGGAGGCAGCAGUAGGGAAUCUUCCGCAGUGGGCGAAAGCCUGACGGAGCAACGCCGCGUGAGUGAUGAAGGUCUUCGGAUCGUAAAACUCUGUUAUUAGGGAAGAACAAAUGUGUAAGUAACUAUGCACGUCUUGACGGUACCUAAUCAGAAAGCCACGGCUAACUACGU
rnacentral:rRNA from 1 species